CACCCGCGCCAGCGCUAAGCGGAUCGAGAAAAGCGAAGCGGCCGCUGCGUCUUUGCGCUUCGCUUUGCUUCGUUUCGCUUCCCGGUGCCGCCAUGGGCUCUGUCCAGCACCGGUUCCAGGCGUUUUUGGACCAGCCGGGCUGGCUCGGCGACCUCCUGGCGAGCCUAGAAGCCAAGACCGGCGUCCAGCGGUAUUACCUGGCCACAGGUUCCAUUACUGCUCUGGGGCUCUACCUGAUGUUCGGCUACGCAGCUUCCCUGCUUUGCAACUUAAUCGGCUUCGUUUAUCCAGCUUAUGCUUCCAUCAAGGCCAUCGAAAGCUCCACCAAAGAGGAUGACACAACGUGGCUGACCUACUGGGUGGUCUACGGCCUCUUCAGCGUGGCCGAGUUUUUCUCCGACACCUUCCUCUACUGGUUCCCCUUCUACUAUGUUGGCAAGAGUCUCUUCCUGGUCUGGUGCAUGGCGCCCGUCUCCUGGAACGGCUCGCAGGUGCUUUACCGUCAUCUUAUCCGCCCAUGGUUCCUCAGGCACCACCAGACGGUGGACAGCGUCCUCAGCGAGCUCGGAGGGCGGGCGGCUGCGGCGUCCAGAGAAGUGCUUCAAUCUCUUGCGAACAGCUGAAUUUUUCCAUCCGCUUGGGGGGGUGUCCGCAUCCCAUUGGCGACUCCGCUUUCCUCCUCCAAAGAAGCGGUGAAAAGAACGCUGCAGACAAUGGACUGAGGCGGACGGCGGAUUAAACAGCGAGGUUUUUUAAACUCCACGUGAAAUAAAGGAUAUGGAAAUUC